rnacentral:rRNA from 1 species
AGAUUGAACGCUGGCGGAAUGCUUUACACAUGCAAGUCGAGCGGCAGCGCGGGGGCAACCCUGGCGGCGAGCGGCGAACGGGUGAGUAAUGCAUCGGAACAUGUCCAAUCGUGGGGGAUAGCCCGGCGAAAGCCGGAUUAAUACCGCAUGUGCUCGCAAGAGGAAAGCCGGGGACCGCAAGGCCUGGCGCGAUUGGGUUGCCGAUGUCGAUUAGCUUGUUGGCGGGGUAAAGCCCACCAAGGCGACGAUCCGUA